AUGAUUUGACGAAAGAAAAUCUGUCUUAGCUUAUUAAAAAAAAAUUAACCUAGAAGUUAAAAGGCUUCUAUUUCCUAAAGGGACGACAAGACCCUAUAAAGCUUUAUUUAUAAUAUUUUUAUUUAUUUCAAUAAAAAAUACAAAUUUAUAAAUUCUAUUGGGGCGAUAAAUAAAUAAACAUUAUUAACUAUAACGUUUUUAACGAAAUUUAUAAAAUAUUUUUAAAAUCUACAACAAGUUACUUUAGGGAUAACAGCAUAAUUUCUUUUUAGAGUCCUUAUCGACAAAGAAGAUUAUGACCUCGAUGUUGGAUUAAG
rnacentral:rRNA from 1 species